rnacentral:RNase_P_RNA from 1 species
GGUAGGCAACCUAACUUCCGCAUUUGUGAGGAAAGUCCGUCCACUAUAUAACGGCUGCUUAUGUUAUGUAAGUCCCAGAAAUGGGAGGCAACCGCUCAGAAACGGCACGGCCUUUUAUUGCUAAAGAUGUGGCUUAAGAAGAAUUUGGCGACAAAUUUGAGAUAACAAGCUGAAUAGAUAAAAGGAAACGAUGAAACGGCGAGACCCUGCUAGUGCAAGUCUUUGACGCUCAGUUAAAUGUUAGGAUAGGUUUUCAAUGAAGCAUUUAAAUGUGGAGAACCUAACAAAAGACGGCUUAUUGCCUGCC